UUAGCUCAUAUUUGUAUGGAAUGGGAUCGUUUGCGUACGUUUGCCACUAGGGGCGCUGUUCCAACUGCAUACAAAAUUGGGUUA
rnacentral:pre_miRNA from 1 species